AGCAGCCGCGGUAAUUCCAGCUCCAAUAGCGUAUAUUAAAGUUGUUGCAGUUAAAAAGCUCGUAGUUGAAUUUCGGGAUCAAUACGUCGGUCGUGCUUUCGGGUACGUACUGGCGUCGUUGGUUUCUCCCUUCUGACGAACCAUGAUGUCAUUUAUUUGGUGUUGUGGGGAAUCAGGACUGUUACUUUGAAAAAUUAGAGUGUUUAAAGCAGGCUCACGCUUGAAUACAUUAGCAUGGAAUAAUGAAAUAGGACGUUUGAUUCUAUUUUGUUGGUUUCUAGGAUCGACGUAAUGAUUAAUAGGGAUAGUUGGGGCAUUAGUAUUCAAUUGUCAGAGGUGAAAUUCUUGGAUUUAUUGAAGACUAACUACUGCGAAAGCAUUUGCCAAGGAUGUUUUCAUUAAUCAAGAACGAAAGUUAGGGGAUCGAAGACGAUCAGAUACCGUCGUAGUCUUAACCAUAAACUAUGCCGACUAGGGAUCGGAUGAUGUUAAUUUUUAAUGACUCAUUCGGCGCCUUACG
rnacentral:rRNA from 1 species